ACGGGAGGCAGCAGUGGGGAAUAUUGGACAAUGGGCGGAAGCCUGAUCCAGCAACGCCGCGUGAGGGAUGACGGCCUUCGGGUUGUAAACCUCUUUCAGCACAGACGAAGCCUUGUCUUUUUGGGUGGGGUGACGGUAUGUGCAGAAGAAGCACCGGCCAACUACGUGCCAGCAGCCGCGGUAAUACGUAGGGUGCGAGCGUUGUCCGGAAUUAUUGGGCGUAAAGGGCUCGUAGGCGGUUUGUCGCGUCGGGAGUGAAAACGCCGUGCUUAACACGGCGCUUGCUUUCGAUACGGGCAGACUAGAGGUAUUCAGGGGAGAACGGAAUUCCUGGUGUAGCGGUGAAAUGCGCAGAUAUCAGGAGGAACACCGGUGGCGAAGGCGGUUCUCUGGGAAUGACCUGACGCUGAGGAGCGAAAGUGUGGGGAGCGAACAGGAUUAGAUACCCUGGUA
rnacentral:rRNA from 1 species